rnacentral:rRNA from 1 species
UUUUGGAAAGAAAAAUUGUACAAGGUUCGUGAGGGGCAACCUGCGGUAGGUAUCAUUA